UUCCUAUUUUAUAAUUUUUUAGUUCAAAAUUCAAUAGCUUUCUCAGAUUUUAGAUUUUCUAACAUGGAGAAAUCUAAAGAAAACAUAGGAACUUCAAGAAAUGUAGCGAAUGAAAAUAUGAAGUUAAAUUAAGGACUUUCAUUGAAUGGUGGAUCGCAAGGAUGUGUUGCUUCAAGUGUAGCUGAGGUUGAAAUCCAACAACCACCUCAAGGAAAAUAUUGGUAAAGAGAAGCUCAAAAACUCCGUGCUCAAUAAUAUGGCCAAUGUCUACACAAAAGGUGAAGGACCAAAAAGAAAAAAGACUGAAGGACUUUUAUACUUGUGUAAGGAGAUAGAUGAAGUGAAGAUAGUUAGUCUUUGUCAUGGAAAUUUUCUAAAUGCAGAUGAAUUUGUCAAACAUGCUGGUGGAGGUGACAUAGUAAACCCUUUAGAACAUAUAUUUAUUGAAGGAAGACAAAUUAAGUAGCCCUAAUAUCAGUGUUAUUUGAUCCUUCAUUUUGUUGUUAUGCCGAAUAAUUCAAUGGCUAUUGCCCAAAAAGGCAUUAGCUUUUGUAUCGUUGUUAUUUCAUCUUUCAUUUUGUUGUGUACUGACUAAAGUUCCUCCCAUCAAAGCUAUAUUGAGGUUAAUUUGCAGUCA